rnacentral:rRNA from 1 species
CAGUAGCCGCGGUAAUACGAAGGGGGCUAGCGUUGUUCGGAAUUACUGGGCGUAAAGCGUGCGCAGGCGGUUUCUCAAGUCAGUGGUGAAAGCCCGGAGCUCAGCUCCGGAACUGCCAUUGAAACUGUGAAGCUGGAGGACGAGAGAGGUGAGUGGAAUUCCCAGUGUAGAGGUGAAAUUCGUAGAUAUUGGGAAGAACACCGGUGGCGAAGGCGGCUCACUGGCUCGUUUCUGACGCUCAUGCACGACAGCGUGGUGAUCAAACAGGAUUAGAUACCCCGGUAGUCCCUGUCUCUUAUAC